rnacentral:rRNA from 1 species
CCUACGGGAGGCAGCAGUGGGGAAUAUUGGGCAAUGGGCGCAAGCCUGACCCAGCAACGCCGCGUGAAGGAAGAAGGCUUUCGGGUUGUAAACUUCUUUUAUCAGGGACGAAGCAAGUGACGGUACCUGAUGAAUAAGCCACGGCUAACUACGUGCCAGCAGCCGCGGUAAUACGUAGGUGGCAAGCGUUAUCCGGAUUUACUGGGUGUAAAGGGCGUGUAGGCGGGAGUGCAAGUCAGAUGUGAAAACUAUGGGCUCAACCCAUAGCCUGCAUUUGAAACUGUACUUCUUGAGUGCUGGAGAGGCAAUCGGAAUUCCGGGUGUAGCGGUGAAAUGCGUAGAUAUACGGAGGAACACCAGUGGCGAAGGCAGCUCACUGGACUGCAACUGACACUGAGGCUCGAAAGUGUGGGUAUCAAACAGGAUUAGAUACCCUGGUAGUC